rnacentral:lncRNA from 1 species
UAAAAAUACAAACAAUUAGCCGGGCACGGUGGCUGGUGUCUAUAAUCCCAGCUACUUGGGAGGCUGAGGCAGGAGAAUCACUUGAACCCAUGAGGCAGAGAUUGCAGUGAGCCAAGAUCAUGCCACUGCGCUCCGGCCUGGGAGACAGAGUGAGACUCUGUCUCCAAAAAAAUAAAUAAAUAAAAAUAAAAAUAGUAAAAUACACACAACAUAAAGUUUACUAUUAAUAACAUUAAUACAUACACAGUAUUGUGCAACCAUCACCACUACCUAGUUCUAGAACAUUUUCAUUGCCCAAAAGGAAACCCUGAACCCAUUAGUUACUUUCCAUCCUCUCCCUCAAUCUCCAGACUUCCGGCAAUCACUUAUCCACUAAUCUGCUUUUUGUCUCUAUUGAUUUGUCUAUUCUGGUUAUUUCAAAUAAAUAGGAUUACCUAAUAUGUGGCCUUUGUAUCUGGUUUAUAUCACUUAGCUUAAUGGUUUCAAGGUUCAUCUAUGUUGUAGCAUACAUUCAUUCCUUUUUAUUGCUUAAUACUAUUCCACUGUGUAAAUAUACCACAUUUUGUUUACCCAUUCAUGGGUUGAUGGACAUUUGGGUUGUUUCUACUUUUGGCAAUUGUGAAUAGUGCUGCUAAAAAUAAACAUUUGUGUAUGAGUUUUUGUUUGAAUACCUGUUUACAGUUGUAUUGGGUAUAUACCCAGG